rnacentral:rRNA from 1 species
GAUGAACGCUGGCGGCGUGCCUAAUACAUGCAAGUCGAGCGAACGGACGAGAAGCUUGCUUCUCUGAUGUUAGCGGCGGACGGGUGAGUAACACGUGGAUAACCUACCUAUAAGACUGGGAUAACUUCGGGAAACCGGAGCUAAUACCGGAUGAUAUUUUGAACCGCAUGGCUCAAAAGUGAAAGACGGUCUUGCUGUCACUUAUAGAUGGAUCCGCGCUGCAUUAGCUAGUUGGUAAGGUAAUGGCUUACCAAGGCAACGAUGCAUAGCCGACCUGAGAGGGUGAUCGGCCACACUGGAACUGAGACACGGUCCAGACUCCUACGGGAGGCAGCAGUAGGGAAUCUUCCGCAAUGGGCGAAAGCCUGACGGAGCAACGCCGCGUGAGUGAUGAAGGUCUUCGGAUCGUAAAACUCUGUUAUUAGGGAAGAACAUAUGUGUAAGUAACUGUGCACAUCUUGACGGUACCUAAUCAGAAAGCCACGGCUAACUACGUG